rnacentral:rRNA from 1 species
GAUGAACGCUGGCGGCGUGCCUAAUACAUGCAAGUCGAGCGAACAGACGAGGAGCUUGCUCCUCUGACGUUAGCGGCGGACGGGUGAGUAACACGUGGAUAACCUACCUAUAAGACUGGGAUAACUUCGGGAAACCGGAGCUAAUACCGGAUAAUAUAUUGAACCGCAUGGUUCAAUAGUGAAAGACGGUUUUGCUGUCACUUAUAGAUGGAUCCGCGCCGCAUUAGCUAGUUGGUAAGGUAGCGGCUUACCAAGGCAACGAUGCGUAGCCGCCCUGAGAGGGUGAUCGGCCACACUGUAACUGAGACACGGUCCAGACUCCUACGGUAGGCAGCAGUAGGGACUCUUCCGCAAUGGGCGAAAGCCUGACGGAGCACCGCCGCGUGAGUGAUGAAGGUCUUCGGAUCGUAAAACUCUGUUAUUAGGGAAGAACAAAUGUGUAAGUAACUAUGCACGUCUUGACGGUACCUAAUCAGAAAGCCACGGCUAACUACGUG